AGCGAACGUUUGCGGCGGGCCUAACACAUGCAAGUCGAACGCACUAGCAAUAGUGAGUGGCGCACGGGUGCGUAACACGUGGGUAAUCAACCCUUCAGCCUGGGAUAACGACUCGAAAGGGUCGCUAAUACCGGAUACGGCGCGAGAGGCUUCGGCUUCUCACGAGAAAGCCACGCAAGGGGCACUGAAGGACGAGCCUGCGGCCCAUCAGCUAGUUGGUGAGGUAAGAGCUCACCAAGGCUAAGACGGGUAGCUGGUCUGAGAGGAUGAUCAGCCACACUGGAACUGAGACACGGUCCAGACUCCUACGGGAGGCAGCAGUGGGGAAUAUUGCGCAAUGGGCGAAAGCCUGACGCAGCCACGCCGCGUGAGCGAUGAAGGCCUUCGGGUC
rnacentral:rRNA from 1 species